AUUGAACGCUGGCGGCAGGCCUAACACAUGCAAGUCGAACGAGUGGCGGACGGGUGAGUAAUGUCUGGGAAACUGCCUGAUGGAGGGGGAUAACUACUGGAAACGGUAGCUAAUACCGCAUACCAUCAGAUGUGCCCAGAUGGGAUUAGCUAGUUGGUGGGGUAACGGCUAAACAAGGCGACGAUCCCUAGCUGGGCUGAGAGGAUAACCAGCCACACUGGAACUGAGACACGGUCCAGACUCCUACGGGAGGCAGCAGGGGGGAGUAUUGCACAAUGGGCGCAAGCCUGAUGCAGCCAUGCGGCGUGGAUGAAGAAGGCCUUCGGGUUGUAAAGUACUGUCAGCGGGGAGGCGGUACCCGCAGAAGAAGCACCGGCUAACUCCGGGCCAGCAGCCGCGGUAAUAC
rnacentral:rRNA from 1 species